rnacentral:rRNA from 1 species
UACGUAGGUGGCAAGCGUUGUCCGGAUUUACUGGGCGUAAAGAGCGCGCAGGCGGUCGAUCAAGUCGCGUGUGAAAGCCCCCGGCUCAACUGGGGAGGGUCACGCGAUACUGAUCGACUCGAAGGCAGGAGAGGGUAGUGGAAUUCCCGGUGUAGUGGUGAAAUGCGUAGAUAUCGGGAGAACACCAGUGGCGAAGGCGACUACCUGGCCUGUUCUUGACGCCUGAGGCGCGAAAGCUAGGGGAGCAAACGGG